UUUCAUUAGAAAAUUUUGCAUGUAGAAAUAGUCAGCUCAUUUACUAUUAGUGUUAAGCAGUUAAACAGACCUUGUCUCUAGCAAAAUAACACAAUUUUCCGCGGUCAGUUGCUUCAGAAAAUAUCCAUAAACUCGCUGUUAAAAGCAAGUCACCAAAAAACCGCACCACCAUGGAAUGAAGACUGCAGAAUGUACUCAUAAAGUACUAUGAGAGCCUAUGAGAGAUUUAUAGAAAACUUUACGAAAUAAUUUUGAGGAAUGUUGCCGAUUUUAGAACCCAGAUUAAAUCUGGGGCAGUUCCUUUACAAAAACCAGACUGUCCUGGCAACGUUAAUGACUGAGAACAGACUGCAGCUAAUGUACGUGAAAACAGUGCCGGAUAAAAUGACUUUUAGAACGUAUCAAAAGUGGCAUCCACUUUUUCAUCGACUUAUAAUAUCCUUGUAUCUGCUGAUACUGGGCAUCUCCAACACAAUAAAUAAGACGCUCUUGGGGAAAAAGAAAGUCAAAGAAACUCGCCGCCAUAGCCCUAUCGACACAAAGAAGAUGUGCGUGCACGUUUCCAAAAUAAUAGCUGCUCUUCUAAAAACAAUGAACUAUUAUGUUCGAGUAAUGCUUCUCAAAGAAUAUCGGAAACUUCUGUUUAUCGUGUUAGCUUCGCGAAAACUUAUGCUCAAGCUUGUGAACUUGUACAUUCGUAACUCCUGCGGCAAUGGCUUGUCUCCGUCACAGUGUAAUUACAACACCGCGAAGCAGAAUGAAAUUUUAAUGAAUUGUCGUAAAAUCUGUCAAUUCUGUUAAGUGUCAUGUAAUGUGCAACGUACCGUAAAUAGUUGUUAAACGAGUGGACCAUGAAGUGAAACGUACGAUUUGAAAGCUUACUUCCCAAGUAAAACAUAAGUCACCAUAAUAUAUGCAUAUAUGGCAGCGAAGUCUCAACUUAAAAAGAGAGGUAGAGAAGAGAUAAGUAUUAGCUAGCAUGGAGAGAAAAUCAACUAUGCGUUACAACUUCGCUUACCAGCGAUUUCUUGAGCGAUUUUUACUAGAUCUAAAAGUGGGGCGGUGUCUUUCGAACAAGGUAGAAAAUAAUACGAAACGUGCAUAAAUGUAAAAAUAAAAAAAAAUAUGUAAAUGUAUUUACAAAAAUUUAAAAAAUAAAUAAAAAAUACAAGCCACUUUGAUUAAUCAUAAAUUAUGUAUAAUUCCUUUUAAAAAAUACAAUUAAACAAGAGAAAACGUUAACUUCAAA